UACAGAGGUCUCAAGCGUUGUUCGGAUUCAUUGGGCGUAAAGGGUGCGUAGGUGGCGCUGUAAGUCAGGUGUGAAAUUUUGGAGCUUAACUCCGAAACUGCAUUUGAUACUGCGGUGCUCGAGGACUGGAGAGGAGACUGGAAUUUACGGUGUAGCAGUGAAAUGCGUAGAGAUCGUAAGGAAGACCAGUGGCGAAGGCGGGUCUCUGGGCCACUACUGACGCUGAGAAGCGAAAGCGUGGGGAGCGAACAGG
rnacentral:rRNA from 1 species